UGGGGAAUCUUGCGCAAUGGUCUAACGACUGACGCAGCGACGCCGCGUGUGGGAGGACGCCUUUCGGGGUGUAAACCACUGUUGCCCGGGACGAACUGCGCGAUUCAUCGCGCGUGACGGUACCGGGUGAGGAAGCACCGGCUAACUCCGUGCCAGCAGCCGCGGUAAUACGGAGGGUGCGAGCGUUGUCCGGAAUCAUUGGGCGUAAAGGGCGCGUAGGUGGCCCGGUCAGUCCGUGGUGAAAGCGCGGGGCUCAACCCUGCGUCGGCCAUGGAUACUGUCGCGGCUCGAGCACUGUAGAGGCAGGCGGAAUUCCGGGUGUAGCGGUGGAAUGCGUAGAGAUCCGGAAGAACACCGGUGGCGAAGGCGGCCUGCUGGGCAGUUUAGCUGACACUGAGGCGCGACAGCGUGGGGAGCAAACAG
rnacentral:rRNA from 1 species